rnacentral:rRNA from 1 species
AUGUCAGCAGCCAUGGCGGCGCCGAGCGCGCUCCCGGCCGAGGUGCCUUCAUACUUCCUCUGCCCGAUCUCGCUGCAGCUCAUGCGCGACCCGGUCACGCUGCCCACCGGCAUCUCCUACGACCGCGCCGCCAUCUCGCGCUGGCUCGCCGCGUCCGCUGCGCCGGCCGCGUGCAGCACCAGCCAGCGCACCUGCCCCGUCACGCGCCAGCCGCUCGAGCCGGAGCUCCAGCUCACGCCCAACCACACCCUCCGCCGCCUCAUCGGCUCCUGGGUCGCGUCCGUCUCCCCCGGCUCCGACGUCGAGGGGGAGGUGGCCGCGCUGAGGCCCGUGCGCCGGGACGAGCUCGCGAAGCUGCUCUCCGACGCCGCCGCGGCCCAGGUCGGCGCGCUCAGGAAGCUGGGGGAAUUGGUGGCCGAGUGCGAGGACACGAGGGCAAUGCUCGAGUCCCAGGAUGGCGUGUUCGACGCGCUGUCUCGUGUCCUCACCGGCGCCAGCGCUUGCUCCACUGCGCGGGAGGAGGCCGUCGGGGUCCUCUCGUCGCUCCGGAUCCCGGAGCAGGAGCUGGUCCGCGUCGUGUCCAGGCACGGCAACCUGGCGGAGUCCCUCACGGCCGUGCUCCGCUCGUCCAACCUACAGUCGCGGGCGCAGGCCGUGCGGCUCGUGAGGUCGCUGGCCGACGUCUCCGUGCCGGCCUGGGUCAUCGGGCUCAACCAGGAGCUCCUCGCCGAGGUGAUCCGCGUGGUCCGCGACCGCGUCUCGACGCGCGCCACUAAGGCGGCGCUCCACGCGCUCUCCGCGCUCUGCCCGUACGGCCGGAACCGCGUCAAGAUCGUCGGCGCCGGCGCGGUGCCGGCGCUCGUGGAGCUGCUGCUGGACGAGCCCGAGCGGCGGGUCUGCGAGCUCGCGCUGGCCGUGCUGGACCGGCUGUGCACGUGCGCCGAGGGGCGCGCCGAGCUGGUGGCUCACGCGGCGGGGGUGGCCGUGGUGGGCAAGAAGGUGCUGCGGGUGUCGGAGGCGGCCAGCGAGCGGGCGGUGCGCGUGCUGAGGUCCGUCGCGCGGCACGCGGCGACGCCGGCCGUGCUGCAGGAGAUGGCGCAGGCCGGCGUCGUGGGCAAGCUGUGCCUGGCGCUGCGGUCCGAGCUGUGCGGGGUCAAGACCAAGGAGAAGGCGCACGAGGUGCUCAAGCUGCACUCCAGGAUCUGGAGGAGCUCACCGUGCUUGUCUCCCAAGUUCUUGGCGCUCUACCCUUCGUGA